AUAACCGGAAGGGAAUCGGUGAAGAAAAAGUUAUUUCUAAGACAGGAGAAUGAAAGUGAAGGAGGGAUGUGUGUCUAUGUGUAGGUAUGUGCGUGCGAACGCGUCUGUGUGUGUGUGU